UGCGAGUGUGGGUCAUGGGUACGUUUGUCAUCAUCGAGGCGUCCCCACCCUGGGUGGAGGCGCGCCGUGGCAGCCACGAUUUGACAGAAUGUGCUCGGUAAGCAGUCCGGCGGUGACAGCGGCGGCGAUCGCUCGGAGGUGCGCGAAAUGACGGCAUAGUCAUUUGCUACCGUCAUUUGCCGACCAGGGAACCAGAAACCAAGAACCAGGAAAACAGCUGAUCGACAAGGAAACUCGGGGGCCAAGGAAAGAUCGCCCACGGACUGCGGGAAAAAUCCUGACAAAAUUUUCCAAUUUAAUCCGCGUGGACGAAAAACUCCUCGUGCUGAAGUGAUUACCAAAAGACAAGAGUCUACGAUCAUUAUCAUCGCGGUGGAUUAAUUAAACAAAAGGUCACGGAAAUUACCUCCCGAAUUUCCAGGAGGAAGACCCACCUGCUUGUUAAAGUUGCAAGAGCUAUAUCAUACCUGAAGACGCUCGGCUGGCUAUUUUUUUUUCAAAUACGGGAUUAAUUUAUUAAUCUUUGGAAUUAGCCCUAGAAAUUAUGAAUUCAUAUUCGAGGGACGUUCCGAGGGCAUGACUUGGACCGGGUUAACAUCCGAUUCGGUAUCCGAGUCUUGAGGACGUCUGGUGACGAGAUAACGAUGUGAAUGUAGGAUCCAGAGAGUAGAGUGAUUCGACGAGGCUGCGGAUUGAUAAGUAGAUGCGUUCGGCGGGCUGCUGAUACCGACCGAUCCAUUCAUAGAAGAGAUAACCGCUGAGAUUAACUCUUCCCGCCGAGAGAUUCUCCAUCCUGCUGCAUUUCUAUGCGACGUGCUCCGAUUUCCAUGAAAGUUUGGAAGGGAGGAAAAACUGCCGGACAGGAAACUCGGCGCGACAUCCUGAUGGGCCUGCUGAUAAGAAUAUAAUUCCUUUAAUUAAAUAAUCUACGGACUCGUUCGGUGUAGUUGUGAAUUUCUUGCGACGCGGCUCCUUCUUGACAUCCGGUUAGCAUCGAGUCGAGCUGUUGGGUGGCGCCGGGCCAUAGAAAAAAAAAAAAAAAGAAAAAGGGCAUGGGGUUCUUAAGAAGGCCAUAAACACCAACGUCACGCACUCGAGAUCCACUCGAAAGCCAAACACGCGUCUUCGAUAAAAGUCCGCGAUUCUAAGUUGCCUGAGAAUUUUCCUGAGAGGGCCCUCAAGAAAUUCGAGUCGAGGGCGAAUUCCCGGGAAUUCUUCGUCGCCUAUGCGUACUUCGAAUUACGGAUCCGCCAUGAGACAGCGGGACCAGUGACGUCACGAUUUAAAGGCCACAGGCGUGAGACUCGACUCGUCGCUUUUGACCCUGCUGACAUACAUGAGGCUGAACGAGAUGACAGGAGGCGAGCAGUCAUUCGGCAUGGAGUCCGCGACCACGUGGCUGCCCCACGUGGACGACUCGAACCACAGCACCAUCAUUGACGGCGAGUUUUCAAGAUUUUCAAAGCCUUUGAGGACCUUUGCGGCAGUCCUUGCCAUCCUGAUAAUGAUUGUCGGCCUCCUGGGGAACCUGUUGACCAUCAUCGCUCUUUGCAAGUACCCCAAGGUGCGCAACGUGGCGGCUGCUUUUAUAAUAAGUCUCUGCGUGGCGGAUUUCAUUUUCUGCCUGCUGGUGCUGCCUUUCGACUCGAUCAGAUUCAUCGAUGCCAGUUGGGCGGACAUAAGGUUCCUCUGCGUCCUCGUGCCCUUCCUGAGGUACGGAAACGUCGGCGUCAGUCUGCUCUCCGUCGCCGCCAUUACGGUGAACAGGUACAUCAUGAUAGCCCAUCACGGGAUAUACAACCGCGUCUACAAAAAACACUGGAUCGCCCUGAUGAUGGUGUUCUGUUGGCUCUUCUCCUAUGGGAUGCAGGUGCCCACGUUGACCGGCACCUGGGGCAGGUUCGCCUACGACCCCAACCUCGAGACAUGCUCCAUCGUGAAGGACGAAAGAGGCUACACCUCGAAGGCCUUCCUCUUCGUCACCGGCUUCGUGAUCCCCUGCAUAAUAAUCGUGGGGUGUUACGCCAAAAUCUUCUGGGUCGUGCACAGCUCCGAAACCCGAAUGCGAAAGCACGCGACACCUUCCGUGAAAUCACCCCACACACCAGGACGUGACAUUCGGGAGAUGAAGCAGAGAAGAAGCGAGUGGAGGAUCACCAAAAUGGUCCUGGCGAUUUUCCUCAGCUUCGUCGCCUGCUACCUGCCGAUCACGAUCGUGAAGGUAGCCGACCCCGAAGUGAAGUAUCCUGAAUUUCACGUAAUGGGCUACCUGUUGCUCUACUUCGCCUCGUGCGUCAACCCGAUAAUUUACGUGAUCAUGAACAAGCAAUACCGACAGGCGUACGCCGGGGUGAUCAGCUGUUCGCGAAUCAGGGCGAGCCUCACCCCACAUGGUAGCAGCGCACCAGCCCAAAACUUCGGCCAAGGGGUGGCCGAUGCGAGCUAGAUAUCGAACGCACUCUUUACUACUAACGCGGACGGAUGAUAGCAUGUAAGAGCGCGGCGAUACGAGCUAGGUUUGAAAUUUUACGUCAAGACUUUCGAGGAGACUACUCUCGUCCUUUUAUCGCGGGUAAAAGAUUUUACGGGGUCAGGAAGAUACUAGGCGACGAGUCCUUAGCGGAUCAAAAGUUCGAGGGCAUAAUCUGAAUAAUUACGGAGCCGCCAUUUUGUAUGAACUUGUCGAAGGACUACAGCAAGACUAUGGUGUCCACGGUGUCGAUCGCCAUGAACCCCGUGAGAAGUUCCGAGUUCGAGGACGUUUUGUGAAAACGAGCGAAGAGAGUGAAAGUAUAUAUACAUAAAAUCAUCGACAGAGAGGCGAGAAAAUCCCGCGGGUACAAGUGUCUCCAUAUACCUAGACGGAAUCCCUAGCUUAUAGGAUUAUUUAUUUAUUGUUCCGGAGGAAAUCAGGCGAUCGUCUCGAGUCUGCGACCCUCUUCGACGCCGCGGUUCGAUUUCCUUCCCGAAAGCGCGAUCGGCGACAAGAGGCCAAGUUUGAGGUCAUCUUCUUGCGUCCCGCUUUCGAGGCGGACGCUUUGCGACGCCCUCGACGAAAGAUCCGUCGCAAAGCGUCCAUUAUCAGUCGGCGACCAAAGAUAGGAGCGCAAGCGUGUAAAUAAGAGUUAAACCUACGACGUUUUUAAUAUCUUACACCGAGAGUUAUCAUACGCCAUGUAGAUACGUGUAAAUUUAUCGAAGUCCCGCGUACAUGUAAACGUCUCUACGAAAUAUAUGAAAGAAAA
rnacentral:misc_RNA from 1 species